GAUGAACGCUAGCUACAGGCUUAACACAUGCAAGUCGAACGAAGCGCAUUGUUUGAAUUCUUCGGAAGGAAGAUAAUGUGACUGAGUGGCGGACGGGUGAGUAACGCGUGGGUAACCUGCCAUGUACAGGGGGACAACAGUUGGAAACGGCUGCUAAUACCGCAUAAGCGCACGAGAUUGCAUGAUCUAGUGUGAAAAACUCCGGUGGUAUAUGAUGGACCCGCGUCUGAUUAGCUAGUUGGUAAGGUAACGGCUUACCAAGGCGACGAUCAGUAGCCGACCUGAGAGGGUGACCGGCCACAUUGGGACUGAGACACGGCCCAGACUCCUACGGGAGGCAGCAGUGGGGAAUAUUGCACAAUGGGCGAAAGCCUGAUGCAGCGACGCCGCGUGAACGAAGAAGUAUUUCGGUAUGUAAAGUUCUAUCAGCAGGGAAGAAGAAAUGACGGUACCUGACUAAGAAGCCCCGGCUAACUACGUGCCAGCCGCCGCAGUAAAAC
rnacentral:rRNA from 1 species